UUUUCUGAGACUGAUGACCUAAUUUCCUCACUGUUAUAAAUUGGGUCAUGUUUUAUAUUGUUCAGUAAGUUUCUGUCCAAUAGAUCUAGAAGGGGAGCUGGUCAUGGGAUUCUGACGGAAAAAAGACUCGAACACAGCAGUAUGUCCGGAUGACAGAUUAUACUGCAAAAGAUUCAAGUCAGGGCAAACGCUACAAGAUAUCUGUUAGAAUCACUGAAGUUCUCACAAAAAAAGGGGUGGUAUUAUAUAAGCUGCAUAGAAUGCUGGAAGAAAGUAGGUUAGCGGAUGGAGUAUACAAAUGUCCUCGGUGCCCUACUGUUGUACCUCUGCCAAGACUUAUAUUUGUUUGGGCCCUGAGGAGAAGUUGUCUUUGGAAAAGAGGCAUUGAUGCUUGUGUCAAGUGUCAGAGGUCAAGCUGAUGCAGUGCCCCAUGAUUUGCUUGCCAUCACGGGAAGAGAAUUCAGUGUCAUUGUAACUCCCAAUGUGUGAAUCAUUAGAUGCAUUGCACAGCCACCUCCAGUUACAGAUUGCCGAGCCGAUUAUCUGUGCCAAUGUUACUCUGCAACAAGGCAUUUUAAGGGUCUCCCUAUUCCUCAAACUCCAAAGCAGGUUCAAGGCCCUGGUGAAACUUCAACUCCGGCACCGUCCAUGGAUCUUAUGCCACAGAGUACACCAUCAUCAGCUUCUAUAGUCGAUGAGUUAAAAUUGUGUUGUCUUAGCAGAGCACCUCUGUUUUUGAUUUUCUGACAAACAAUGCCUUCUGCCUAUAGACUGCCUCUGAUACUGCUGGAAGAACAAACUGCAAGAACGAUGGUGCUGGUAAGAACCUCAAGUCGAAGAAGGGAUUGCAUUUCUGAGAUGAUGACUAGGUUGCUUCACACGUUCUCGCGCACGUAUCAUACAACUCGCAUAGAGAGUGAAGGAUUGGAUAAUUCAGUCGUCAGAAGUACUGCAUCUACUACCGUUUCUACUAUCUACAAGCUAUUCUCUGGCUGGUAUAUGUAGCAAGUAGGCUUUGUUUUGGGGCAUGGUUCUGUUGUUCAAGGCCCAUAGGUUUAUCCUGUGUAUGCCUUUUUUUUUUAUAUCAAUGACCAGUAGACUGUUUAGACCAUGUCCUCAAGUCCUACGAGUUAUCUGUGCUCAUAGGUGUUAUGUCUGUUUUGUUAAAGAUCUACUACUUUGGCUGUCAUCACCUUCACUGUAUAAUACGUCCUUGCACACUCAUGUGUUAUCAUAUGCCAUGUAAUAUAUUGACCUAGCUCUUCUACCGUUA